AUGGAUUGAUGCACAGAGAUAGGAACGGUGGAUUCUUUGACAUGGUUCAUUUGUAACCUUUCUUGAAACUGAGCCCUGAGAAAUCCAUGCCUCAGCCUUCUCGUAGGGGCCGCAGUGGCACAGUGGGUUAAACAACUGAGCUGCUGAACUUGCUGACUGGAAGGUUGGUGGUUCGAAUCCACGGGACAGGGUGAGCUCCCGUUGUUAGCUUCAGCUUCUGCCAAACCAGCAGUUCGGAAACAUGCAAAUGGACUGAUUUCCUUGUCUAGCGGCCAGCACAAAUUAAAACAUAAAAGAUGAAAUUUAAGAUUCAAAUAGCUAUUACGGGAAUUGGAUGCAAUUUUCCAGGAGGGACUAAUUUCCUUGUCUAGCAGCCACCACAGAUUAAAACAUAAAAGAUGACAUUGACAAUUCAAGUAGCUAUUGCGGGAAUGGGAUGUAA